rnacentral:hammerhead_ribozyme from 2 species
AUGCGAAAUCCCGGCCACUGGCCGGGAUCAUCCGGAGGUUGCGCUCCGGGUCUGAUGAGCAGCAUAAU